UGUCUUUCUCUCUGUCUCUAUCUCAUUCUUUCUGUCUGUCUGUCUCUGUAUGUCUCUGUCUGUCUGUCUUUCUCUCUGUCUGUCUCUCUCUCUCUGUCUCUCUCACCCCAGGAGUGCGAGUGGUUUAACUGUCCUUCCUGUGGAGUUACAUCAGAUUCCUCAGAAGUGGAGAUCAGAGUUAAGUUGGGGGAAAAAAUCUAUUUUACAUUUUAAAUGUUUGAAUACAGAGAUCUUGACUUUACCUCCCAGCUCAUGGAAAUGCAGUAGGGCAACACAAUUCCAGCUGGAGUACAUAAAGUUAGCGAGUCAGUAAUAAAAACACCAACUAAAUUCCUUCCUCACUAAAAUCCAACUAAGCAACUAAAUUAACACCAAUGAAUAAUCGGAAAUAAUUCCAUUUUUAUCUUGUAACCAUGAACUAUGAACGAUUUCAUCAGACACCGGUGAGAGUAAAUGACUGCUUUCUGAUCCAUCAUCGCUAGCUCUGGAGCUCGUCUCUGAUCUGAUGAACUUCCAGCAGAUAAACCAUUUACAUAAACGCCUGUAACUGGACGAAGUAAAAUAGAAGAUGAGCGGCUUCGUACGUGGAUAACUGGAGCAGCUACAAAACGUUUUAUACGAACGUGUUUAUAAUUUCCUGGCUCCAUCGAUAUGAAUUAAAAACGGUGUAGUGAGUGAGAUCGGACUCCAGUUUUCAGAUACAUACGUUAUACAGCAAGAUGUGCUUAGGCAUAAAAGACUGACUGAUACAGUUAGUGCUUUUAUUAAUGCAUGAGAUCCAAGAGAACAGAUAAAGACUGGAAAACUCGUGUCAAAGCUACACGAUGCUUUUUUAGUUUUCUAGUCAAUUUGUGGACUAAAAUUAUUUUGUAGUAGUUUUUCAAGAAAAAGGAUGAUAAAUUUGUUGCAUUUCCAGAAAUUAAGUCAAAGUUUGAAUAAAAUUGCAAUAUUUUUGAAAAAAAAAAACUGCUACUAUCUCAAAAAGGUCAAUAUGUUGUAAUUAUAUUCAAACUCUGACUUAAAUUAAGACUUUUUCUUGUUUCAAGGAAGUUUGUAUGCUCAUUAGGUUAAAAAUCAUUGAAAAGAUAAGUUGCGUUGUCAGGUUAGACUGAUUGCUUCUUUUCCCCCCAAACCCAAAAGUUACAUACUGCAGCUUUAAAAUCUGACCACAGAUUUGGUGUUUCUCAGGUGGUGCGAGGAAAAAGCGAUUUGUCCGGUGAAGAGCCCAAGGCUGGUGUGUUAGGUGCAGAGAUCAUACACACUGCUGUAAAUUUAUUACAGCUGAAUUCACAAGGUUUCUGCUUGUCAGGACAGACAACACCUCCGAGGUCCCCUGAAGCACAAACGCAGGAGAUGAAACAAACCUGUGUGUCAGCGGCUUUGCUGUUAUUCCUUUCAACUUCUAUAAACAGCAUUUGAAUUGGUGCCAUUUACACAACUCAUUUUCUAACCAUUAUACAACCACAGGCUGUGUAUUAUAAUUUUGUUCUAGGAAAAGACUGAUUUUUAGGUUUCAGUAACACACUGAUAUCUGAGCUAGCUGCUAGAUACUGAUCUUAUGUGUAAAUCCGUGCUGUUAACAAGCUGGAGCCCUGCAAGCUUACUGCAAUACAUCAGAAGUGUGUCGGCAGCUUGCUUAGAAAAUGAUUUGUGUUGUUUUCACGAGCUGUGUACUGUGUCAGUUACUGCAGUGCAAUACAGCAUAAAAAAGUCAGUGGAUAAGAUAAGAAAACGGGUCAAAUCUGAAGCAGUGAAUCAGGCAAGUGAACUAUUUUUAGGAGAAAGCAUGCAGCAUAUAGGGUGCACACACACACACACACACACACACACACACACACACACACACACACACACACACACACACACACACAGAGAGAGAGAGAGAGAGAGAGAGAGUUAUAUUCAUCUAUUUAUAAGAAUAAUGUGCUCUAUGGCCAAAUUAAAUAAAUAUAUAAAUAAAUAAUGUUGUUAAUUGAAACAAACAAACAAACAAACAAACAAAUAAAUAAUAAUAGACGGAGACGGCAUAAAACUAGCCGGUUGCACGGUUCCCCGAUGACCUUAUGUUUCCAUGUCAAUAAACUCAUGGCCAUCAGCUUCUGGAGUUCAUCUCUAUUUCUUUCAAAACAUAGUCAAUAAUAGGAAGAGAAAUUCCAGCAGUGUGUAGAGCUUUCCUUUUUUUUAAACUAGACAGCUACAAAUCCAUACGCAUCGUCAUGGUUUCCUUUCCCAAGUGAACUCGAGCAAAACUAAUAUCACUUGCGCUGCAUUCGGACAUAUUAGACCUAGCACCAUGUAUCAGGUGUGUAGAACAGGAAACAGUACAGACUACAGGAUGUUGGCUUGAAAUGUACACAGUAUGAUAAAGUGUAAAUAUAAAACGAGUUCCAACUCCUGGAAAUGGACGGCUGGGGCAUCGUCAGGAUUCUAACGUCCAGUGAAUUCUUUUUUUCUGUUAUAUAUUAAAGUAAAUAAAUCACUCAAUCUGCCAUGUUCUUCUGUGUUUGCCAGCCUUUAUGAUAAUGUUAGGUCCAUGCUAGCAGUUGGUGCACCACAAUAAUAACGGUUUACAGUGUAGUCGCAGCCACUGAGCAGAGAAAUGGAAGCUGCUGUAGGGUAAAUUAGGGCAAGUCCAGAAGGGAGGGUAAAGAAAUGUUUUGGUGAGUUGCCAGAAGGGAUGAAAGCCCUGAACAUAAAAUGAUGAAAACAAAACUAAAGACAGGCUGAUGAUAACAGAAGGAGAUGCAUUUUAAUCAGUAGUUUAGAAAAGGUCAGAAGUGAGGUAAAUAACUUCACGGCUUGUCUUUACAGACCUUUCUGUUUGCUUUAACUUAUAACAAAAUGAUUGUGUUUGCUAUAAGUUAAAGUUUUCUAUUUGUAUCAGCAAAUUGAAACUACAACCAGCACCAGCACAGGCCCAUUGAGGAACGUUCACACUGCCCCAUUCACACUGCCCCAGGAGAAGCAGGGCGGUUAAUGAGAUGCCAAAUCUAAUGGAGCUAAAUACUCUGCGGACGCCGGGAUCUUGUUUUAUAGCAAAUAAUCUGAGAUAUUGUGGUCAGUUUUACGCACAGAGAACUGUAUUAACCCUCAAACAAAGCAACUUUUUUCCCAUUUAACAGCUUUAAGAAACAUCACUACACUUUUUUAAAGACACAAUUCACUAUUUCUGAUUCAUUUUACUUAUCUGUCGUUUAAAGAAAAUUCUUAUCGAGAUAUGGCCUUUACACCCGACCCUGCAGUCACGUAUUGUAUCUAGAAUCAGAACCAUGUGUGACAAAGCCUACACACAGAACUCUAUAUUUAGGCUGAGACUAAAGUAUUGGAUUAAUAUGAGCUGCUUGCUACCUUGACCUUUAAGUCCUUGUGUUAUAUAACUGCAACUUUACCCUAUGGGGUUGUGACUGACAGCUAUUAUGGUAAACGAUGCAAAUUUGGGGCAAUGGCUUAGUGGAGAAAAACAAAGUCUUUCCCAGCAAACACCUUUUAAUUUGUGACUGCCUCCUACCCAGUUGUCACACGUCAACACCACCAACACACACCGAACAAGAGCGGAAACACAGGAGGCUGGAAAAGAUGGAAAGAGGCGGUCACUAUCCAAAGAAGGGAGGAGAGAAAGGAGAAAUCCAGCCACAUCCGGGCACUUCCGGUCCCGUGCGCCAUGUGUCCAAAUCACAACACAUCAUGGAGUUCCCCAGUUGCUAACAGCAGAGCCAUUGGGCUAGUCAGAGAUGAUCUCAUUACAGAAGAAGGAAAUGUAGAAGUUUAGAAGUUUAAUUUGAGUUAGAAAUGAUCACAAAAAGGGUUGAGGUUAUUAUUCCUAGAUCUAAUAAAUCAUGAAAGAAGAAAAGCUAUAAUUAGGGCAGUUAAGAAGAUAAUGUCAGGAGGGAAUGUGUGGGGGGGGGGAUUAAGGUCCUCUUAAGAAUGAUUAAUAAAAUAACUAAACAAAUAAACAUUGUAAAAAAAAAAUCUGAGAAAAAGGACAGAAUGUGUAAAAUCAGAUAAAGCACAUGGCCAUGAUGGCUGCUGCCAGCCAGAUAAUAAACCCCUAGAUCGCAUUAUCUCCACAAUCCUUUCAUCACAAGUCAUUUAUAUUAAACAAGGAGUAAAUUAUAAGGGGACGGUGUUAUGGUGUGGUGCUUUGUGUUAAUUCAAUAACACAAAGCACACACACACCACAAACUGUUUUACUCCUAUAUAACACAAUCUGUUGAAAAUUAGACUUCUACAUUGAUUAAAGAAUCACACGUCACACUUAAAUGACUCUAUAUACAUUUAACAGUAUUGAACAUCUGUAAGAUAAGUUAAUUCCUGUUAUCACUUACAUUAUAGUGACAUUAUAUUUCUUAUUUUUUAUCUUAUUGAAUUCUCGGUUCCAUUCUUCUUUGAUUAGAAGUCAAUAAGAUAAAAAUAAGAAAUACAGUGCAGCUCGUCAUGUUACUGCGAAUAAAUAUGGACUAAAUCAUCUGGCAGACUUGGUUAAGCCUGCAGAUUUAACCAUAGUGUAAAACUACCACAAACUUCCACCUUCCGCAAAUGUACGAUUUAUUAUUUAUUAUUGUUUAUU